GUGCUGGCUUUGGCAGCUCACGUGCUAAACCUGGAAUGAUGCAGAGAAGAUGAGCAGGGGUCCUGUGUGAGGAUGGCAAGAAAACCUGCGAGGCUCUAAACAACAAA